rnacentral:rRNA from 1 species
GAUGAACGCUGGCGGCGUGCCUAAUACAUGCAAGUCGAGCGAACAGACGAGGAGCUUGCUCCUCUGAAGUUAGCGGCGGACGGGUGAGUAACACGUGGAUAACCUACCUAUAAGACUGGGAUAACUUCGGGAAACCGGAGCUAAUACCGGAUAACAUGUUGAACCGCAUGGUUCAACAGUGAAAGAUGGUCUUGCUGUCACUUAUAGAUGGAUCCGCGCCGCAUUAGCUAGUUGGUAAGGUAACGGCUUACCAAGGCAACGAUGCGUAGCCGACCUGAGAGGGUGAUCGGCCACACUGGAACUGAGACACGGUCCAGACUCCUACGGGAGGCAGCAGUAGGGAAUCUUCCGCAAUGGGCAAAAGCCUGACGGAGCAACGCCGCGUGAGUGAAGAAGGUCUUCGGAUCGUAAAACUCUGUUAUUAGGGAAGAACAAAUGUGUAAGUAACUAUGCACGUCUUGACGGUACCUAAUCAGAAAGCCACGGCUAACUACGUGCCAGCAGCCGCGGUAAUACGUAGGUGGCAAGCGUUAUCCGGAAUUAUUGGGCGUAAAGCGCGCGUAGGCGGUUUUUUAAGUCUGAUGUGAAAGCCCACGGCUCAACCGGGGAGGGUCAUUGGAAACUGGAGAACUUGAGUGCAGAAGAGGAAAGUGGAAUUCCAUGUGUAGCGGUGAAAUGCGCAGAGAUAUGGAGGAACACCAGUGGCGAAGGCGACUUUCUGGUCUGUAACUGACGCUGAUGUGCGAAAGCGUGGGGAUCGAACAGGAUUAGAUACCCUGGUAGUCCACGCCGUAAACGAUGAGUGCUAAGUGUUAGGGGGUUUCCGCCCCUUAGUGCUGCAGCUAACGCAUUAAGCACUCCGCCUGGGGAGUACGACCGCAAGGUUGAAACUCAAAGGAAUUGACGGGGACCCGCACAAGCGGUGGAGCAUGUGGUUUAAUUCGAAGCAACGCGAAGAACCUUACCAAAUCUUGACAUCCUCUGACCCCUCUAGAGAUAGAGUUUUCCCCUUCGGGGGACAGAGUGACAGGUGGUGCAUGGUUGUCGUCAGCUCAUGUCGUGAGAUGUUGGGUUAAGUCCCGCAACGAGCGCAACCCUUAAGCUUAGUUGCCAUCAUUAAGUUGGGCACUCUAAGUUGACUGCCGGUGACAAACCGGAGGAAGGUGGGGAUGACGUCAAAUCAUCAUGCCCCUUAUGAUUUGGGCUACACACGUGCUACAAUGGACAAUACAAAGGGUAGCGAAACCGCGAGGUCAAGCAAAUCCCAUAAAGUUGUACUCAGUUCGGAUUGUAGUCUGCAACUCGACUACAUAAAGCUGGAAUCGCUAGUAAUCGUAGAUCAGCAUGCUACGGUGAAUACGUUCCCGGGUCUUGUACACACCGCCCGUCACACCACGAGAGUUUGUAACACCCGAAGCCGGUGGAGUAACCUUUUGGAGCUAGCCGUCGAAGGUGGGACAAAUGAUUGGGGUGAAGUCGUAACGAGGUAGCCGUAUCGGAAGG